rnacentral:lncRNA from 1 species
GGCCCAGAUUAGAAGAUAAAUGAAACCAGUGUGAGCACAACUUAAAUCUCAAAGGCUCAGAUUAAAAGAUCACUCUUCAUGAAGAUUCAAAGGUCCUUAUUCACGCUCCUACCUCUCUUUUUAUGAAAUCCUAGCCUUUCCACUCUAUAAAUAGAACUUCAAGGCCUCCAUCUUCUCCAAUGAAGCCAACGUCUAAGUUUCUCUCUAAGCUGU